GCCACCAUAGCUCAGUUGGCAGAGCACUCGCCUUGUAAGCGAGAUGUCGUGGGUUCAAGUCCCACUGGUGGCU
rnacentral:tRNA from 1 species